rnacentral:rRNA from 1 species
GAUGAACGCUGGCGGCGUGCCUAAUACAUGCAAGUCGAGCGAACAGACGAGGAGCUUGCUCCUCUGACGUUAGCGGCGGACGGGUGAGUAACACGUGGAUAACCUACCUAUAAGACUGGGAUAACUUCGGGAAACCGGAGCUAAUACCGGAUAAUAUAUUGAACCGCAUGGUUCAAUAGUGAAAGACGGUUUUGCUGUCACUUAUAGAUGGAUCCGCGCCGCAUUAGCUAGUUGGUAAGGUAACGGCUUACCAAGGCAACGAUGCGUAGCCGACCUGAGAGGAUGAUCGGCCACACGGGAACUGAGACAGGGUCCAGACUCCUACGGGGGGCAGCAGUAGGGAAUCUUCCGCAAUGGGCGAAAGCCUGACGGAGCACCGCGGCGUGAGUGAUGAAGGUCUUCGGAUCGUAAAACGCUGUUAUUAGGGAAGAACAAAUGUGUAGGUAACUAUGCACGUCUUGACGGUGCCUAAUCAGAAAGCCACGGCUAACUACGUG